GUAGUGCACUAUCUAUCUAUCCAUUCAAGAAAAUUGAUGGCGAUGGAAUCCGCGUGUGUGCGUGUGUGGCUGUGCCUCUGGUCGCUCGAUGGUUUUUUAGGUUCCGUAAAGUAUGAAACUGCUGGUCCUAUUCUGAAUUCUAAUAAUGUUGAUCACCAGAGAGAAAGAGAUCAGAGGACGGAUGGAAGGGAUGGCGACAACGUCAUAUUCGAAAGGAAAUAACGCUGGAAUACCUUGUUGUUGCUACCUGUCAGAGUUCAUAAUUAUGAACUAAAUUACUUGGCACUUCUUAGUUGCCAAACUUGACAGUUGCUAAGACCUUCUGUCGACAAGAUACACAAACAUACAAUUGCAUGUUCUCCCUAGAUCGCGGAUGCAAUCGUGGCAUGAGAUUGUUAAGAGUGAAGGCAUGCAUAUGGGUACUAUGUAGAGUAUUCGAAGAGGUCAUCUUCAUGAAACUAGCAGAGGAUAGACAUUGGGAAAAAUGAGAGAUGAGGUGAGUUUUUGUUGUUCACCAUCCAAUUCAAGCAUCACACAAAUUAAGCAUUACUAUUCAAAGGAUGCAUAGUUAAC